rnacentral:lncRNA from 1 species
CUAAAACUCAAGUAUAAUCUCCUCUCUGGUUGGGAAAUACCUAAACACAAUGCAGUGUUCAUGAGAGCCCUAAGUAACUAUUGUCUGAUGCUGACAAAGAAAUCUCUUUCCUUUAAAUGAAACUUGGCUGAAUGGUGGAACACACACUAUCAUAAUACCUAUCAUUGAGUGAAAAUGCAUUUGUGAGCAAAUCUGGUCCUGCCUGGCAACCGUUUCUAGGCAAAAGGUGGCAGAGAGCCAGCUGCUGCUACCUCACAGUAGGCUUUCACCUUCAGCUGAACAACCCAUGUAGGACUGAUAUCUUCCUUGGAUUAUUUGGAUCCCAUUAUAUAAGAUAAACCAUAAAUGAGAAGAGUGGUGAAAGGAGUUGUCAAUUCCUGCUCCUAGGAGGAAAAGCUCUGGUUUAUCAAUCAGGUUACCUAUCAGAGUAUUCCAAGGAUGCUGCUAAAGUAGCCCUGGACAUCUCCCUCCUCCU